GACGAACGCUGGCGGCGUGCUUAACACAUGCAAGUCGAACGGAAAGGCCCUGCUUUUGUGGGGUGCUCGAGUGGCGAACGGGUGAGUAACACGUGAGUAACCUGCCCUUGACUUUGGGAUAACUUCAGGAAACUGGGGCUAAUACCGGAUAGGAGCUCCUGCUGCAUGGUGGGGGUUGGAAAGUUUCGGCGGUUGGGGAUGGACUCGCGGCUUAUCAGCUUGUUGGUGGGGUAGUGGCUUACCAAGGCUUUGACGGGUAGCCGGCCUGAGAGGGUGACCGGCCAAAUUGGGACGGAGGUACGGCCCAGACCCAUAGGGGGGGCAGGAGUGGGGAAAUUUGCACAAUGGGGGGAGGCCGGGUGGAGAAACGGCGGGGGGGGGAUGGCGGCCUUGGGGUGGAAAACCGCUUUCCCGUGUGACGAAGGGGGGGUGAGGGUAAUGGGUAAAGAAGCACCGGCUAACUACGU
rnacentral:rRNA from 1 species